rnacentral:misc_RNA from 1 species
GAUGAAGAACGUAGCGAAAUGCGAUAAGUAAUGUGAAUUGCAGAAUUCAGUGAAUCAUCGAAUCUUUGAACGCACAUUGCGCCCAUUAGUAUUCUAGUGGGCAUGCCUGUUCGAGCGUCAUUAAGUCCACUUAAGCCCUGCUUAGUGUUGGGAGACUGCUCCAGCGGUGCUACCCUGAAGCUACCCUGCAGCUCCUCAAAGACAGCGGCGGAGUUGUGGUAUCCUCUGAGCUUAGUAACUUGUUCUAGCUUUCGAGUACACCACUUCCCCUGCCGUAAAACCCUUAAUUUUUAAUGGUUGACCUCGGAUCAGGUAGGAAUACCCGCUGAACUUAAGCAUAUCAAUAAGCGGAGGA